GCGGGAUUACGUGGCGCCCCGCCCUUGCUCGGGCUGCAGAGGGUGGUCCAGAGCUGCGGAGUCCUCGGAAUCCCGUUGGGCCGCUGCUAAUUCAGUUAAUUACCUGUCCGACCCACGCAUCGGUGGAAGAAUAGAAGACUUCUUCCUACUAACCACCUGAACUAUGGCAAUUUUUAGUAACUUUGUGAUUACCUAAAAGUUAAGAUUGGGAGGUCACAGAGUAAAAUGAGGACAGCAAACCAUAAAGAAACGGGGCCAAGAACAAAAGUAAAAGAAAUCCAGGUGAAAAAGUAAGUUUCACGAAAUAGUCCCUUGUCUUUCAGUCAUGGCCAAAUCCACCCUCUUCCGUGAUAGCUAACUCAAUUUCCACUUUUCCCCAAACAGCAUUCCAAACCACUCUAACCAACCACCCGCGCUUUAGUUAUUCCUCCCAAAUUCCUGUGUCUCUUAAGCUGAACUUCCACUGUUCUUUCCUAGAAGGGAAGGAUGAGGAUGUGUACUUCUUUUGAUUGAACGGUAUCUGUCUGAUGUGUGCUUGCAAAUAAAUAUCACGCUAACCACGCGGGCCGCCCCAGAGGAAUGCCUGGUGUACUAUUACCUUUCCCCGUCAGUAUAAUUUACAGACUCCUCAAUGUUACUUGAAGUUGAAACAUCUGCUCCUAACUGGUGAUUUGUGGAUUUUAAUUGUUCAAUUUCAGUUUUCAGUUCUUCACAUUGUGAACGCAUUUGUGAUUUUUCCAUUUCCAAUAAUUCAACCUGACAAAAAAAAAAUUUGAGUGUAAAAUUUAGAACUAAUGCCAAAGUGCAAAUUUAAGCUAAGACAUGUAGAAAACCUGAGUGAUGAACAUUACCAUCAAAAAAGGGCAAAAACCCCACAGGAAAAAAAAAAAGCUUCCUCUGUUUGGUGUCACCUCGACAUUUCGUCACACUGGAAACAAUACCAAAGUGGCUCUCAUUUCUUGCACACACUCACCAGCUGGAAGCUACAACAGAAAGCUUAUAUUGAUUUUUAUAUAUUUUGUCAUCUGGCUCCAAGCCAAUAAUACAUCAAGAUGAAUGUUCAGAUGAGCUGUUACGUCCGCAUUAUUUCCAGGAAGAGGGGGCAGGAGAGCAGCACACUGCUGUUUCCGAAUCUCAGCAGAAAAACCCUUCUUUCAAACGCCACAUUAACAGGAUACGUAAAAUACUUGUUUUUGGAAGAAGCGAUCCAAAUUUGAAUGGAGAGUACACACAGAGGCUACUACUUGACGCCUGACACCUACCAUUUUUCUCCUUCUCCUUCAGUAAAGGAACCCCUGAAUAAAGACUACAGUUCCAAGGCGCCCAUUAGCCAGGUGGCUAAGUUCUGACAGGUGGAACGUAAGCGACUUUCAGGGACCACACCCCUCCUCUGUCCUGCUGCUUGGAAUGUAGAUAUACGAGGACUGGACCCGGAGGGCCACCUCCGACCAUAACUGCAUGCGGAGAAGCGAAGCAACAACGUAGGAGCCUGCUGUCUCUGAGGCCUGCGGAACCGCCAGUUGGAUGUUCGUCUCCGUCUCCUGCCGGCAGACCCGAUCGUAACUAAUACAGGCUGUCUCUAUAAAAUGA